GGGGUUGACAUGGAUUUGACGGCGAGAUGAAAUGGUAUGUAAGCACGCGGAGACUCGUCGGCUAUCUCCUUAAUCAGAGUGGACACAAAUUUAAUUGGCGAAAACAACUACGCUCUCGCUGCCUAAUCGAAGCAUAGUAGAUUACUGGCUUAAUCCAGUCACAAGGUGACAGGACGAGACAUCGCCCCAAUGAUGUUGUUCCGAAUCAGAGGACAAGGCGGUGCAGGUAAAUCGGAAAUAGUCUGUGCAGGCUCCGGUGCCCAGAUGAAAUUUUAGGAGAUAAGGUUGCGGUUGGUAGUCCGGUUCUUGCCGCAACUCGAAAAUCUCGUCCGGAAUAAGCGUGUAGAAAGCGUAUGGUUUCCUUGUGCGGACGUGGGUUCGAAUCCCACCAGCUCCACU
rnacentral:tmRNA from 1 species